CGUGGUAGGCUGCCUGACAGCUGGGUUACUGAGGGGCUGAGAGGUUACCAUUCAUGGUAGGCUGCCUGACAGCUGGGUUACUGAGGGGCUGAGAGGUUACCAUCAUGGUAGGCUGCCUGACAGCCGGGUUACUGAGGGGCUGAGAGGUUACCAUCGUGGUAGGCUGCCUGACAGCCGGGUUACUGAGGGGCUGAGAGGUUACCAUCAUGGUAGGCUGCCUAACAGCCAGGUUACUGAGGGGCUGAGAGGUUACCAUCGUGGUAGGCUGCCUGACAGCCGGGUUACUGAGGGGCUGAGAGGUUACCAUCGUGGUAGGCUGCCUGACAGCCGGGUUACUGAGGGGCUGAGAGGUUACCAUUGUGGUAGGCUGCCUGACAGCUGGGUUACUGAGGGGCUGAGAGGUUACCAUCGUGGUAGGCUGCCUGACAGCCAGGUUACUGAGGGGCUGAGAUGUUACCAUUGUGGUAGGCUGCCUAACAGACACCCCGUAGAUUUGCUCCAGCAAUGUGUUCAGCGCUCGGUCAUGGCGCUCGGCCAAGAUCAG
ensembl:lncRNA